UUAAGUGACUAAGCGUACAAGGUGGAUGCCUUGGCAAUCAGAGGCGAUGAAGGACGUGCUAAUCUGCGAAAAGCUUGGAUGAGUCGAUAAGAGGCGUUUAAUCCAAGAUGUCCGAAUGGGGAAACCCAGUAGAUGAAGAAUCUACUAUCACUUACUGAAUACAUAGGUAAGUGAGGCAAACCGGGAGAACUGAAACAUCUAAGUACCCCGAGGAAAAGAAAUCAACCGAGAUUUCGUUAGUAGCGGCGAGCGAACGCGAAGGAGCCUGUUAGUGAUAAUGACAGAGACAGAGGAACAAGCUGGGAAGCUUGGCGAUACAGGGUGAUAGCCCCGUACUCGAAGUCCAGGUCAUGGUACUAAGCUAACGACAAGUAGGGCGGGACACGUGAUAUCCUGUUUGAAGAUGGGGGGACCAUCCUCCAAGGCUAAAUACUCCUGAUUGACCGAUAGUGAACCAGUACUGUGAAGGAAAGGCGAAAAGAACCCCGGUGAGGGGAGUGAAAUAGAACCUGAAACCUUGUACGUACAAGCAGUGGGAGCCCUUUAAGGGUGACUGCGUACCUUUUGUAUAAUGGGUCAGCGACUUAUAUUUUGUAGCGAGGUUAACCGAAUAGGGGAGCCGAAGGGAAACCGAGUCUUAACUGGGCGUCUAGUUGCAAGGUAUAGACCCGAAACCCGGUGAUCUAGCCAUGGGCAGGUUGAAGGUUGGGUAACACUAACUGGAGGACCGAACCGACUAAUGUUGAAAAAUUAGCGGAUGACUUGUGGCUGGGGGUGAAAGGCCAAUCAAACCGGGAGAUAGCUGGUUCUCCCCGAAAUCUAUUUAGGUAGAGCCUUGAGCGGACACCUUCGGGGGUAGAGCACUGUUUCGGCUAGGGGUCCAUCCCGGAUUACCAACCCGAUGCAAACUACGAAUACCGAAGAGUGAUACUCAGGAGACACACGGCGGGUGCUAACGUCCGUCGUGGAGAGGGAAACAACCCAGACCGCCAGCUAAGGUCCCAAAGUCUAUAUUAAGUGGGAAACGAAGUGGGAAGGCUUAGACAGCUAGGAUGUUGGCUUAGAAGCAGCCAUCAUUUAAAGAAAGCGUAAUAGCUCACUAGUCGAGUCGGCCUGCGCGGAAGAUGUAACGGGGCUCAAAUAUAGCACCGAAGCUGCGGCAUCAGACGAAAGUCUGUUGGGUAGGGGAGCGUUCUGUAAGCGGAUGAAGGUGAAUCGAGAGGUUUGCUGGACGUAUCAGAAGUGCGAAUGCUGACAUAAGUAACGAUAAAACGGGUGAAAAACCCGUUCGCCGGAAGACCAAGGGUUCCUGUCCAACGUUAAUCGGGGCAGGGUGAGUCGGCCCCUAAGGCGAGGCUGAAAAGCGUAGUCGAUGGGAAACGGGUUAAUAUUCCCGUACUUGGAUAAACUGCGAUGUGGGGACGGAGCAGGUUAGGUUAUCGCACUGUUGGAUAUGUGCGUUUAAGUUUGUAGGUGUGAAGUUUAGGCAAAUCCGGACUUCUUUAACACUGAGAGAUGAUGACGAGGCUCUACGGAGCUGAAGUAACCGAUACCACACUUCCAGGAAAAGCCACUAAGCUUCAGGUUUAUCUAAACCGUACUGAAAACCGACACAGGUGGUCAGGUAGAGAAUACUCAGGCGCUUGAGAGAACUCGGGUGAAGGAACUAGGCAAAAUAGCACCGUAACUUCGGGAGAAGGUGCGCCGGCGUAGAUUGUAGUCCCUUGCGGGCGAAGGUUGAACCGGUCGAAGAUACCAGCUGGCUGCAACUGUUUAUUAAAAACACAGCACUCUGCAAACACGAAAGUGGACGUAUAGGGUGUGACGCCUGCCCGGUGCUGGAAGGUUAAUUGAAGAUGUGCAAGCAUCGGAUCGAAGCCCCAGUAAACGGCGGCCGUAACUAUAACGGUCCUAAGGUAGCGAAAUUCCUUGUCGGGU
rnacentral:rRNA from 1 species